rnacentral:rRNA from 1 species
UACGUAGGGUGCAAGCGUUGUCCGGAAUUAUUGGGCGUAAAGAGCUCGUAGGCGGUCUGUCGCGUCGGCUGUGAAAACCCGGAGCUCAACUCCGGGCCUGCAGUCGAUACGGGCAAACUGGAGUGUUGCAGGGGAGACUGGAAUUCCUGGUGUAGCGGUGAAAUGCGCAGAUAUCAGGAGGAACACCAAUGGCGAAGGCAGCUCUCUGGGACGGUACUGACGCUGAGACGCGAAAGCGUGGGGGAGCGAACAGG